CUCGGCGGUCAGGGGGCGGUCCGUUAUUUGACGAGACUGCCCCAUUUGGCCGUGUUUCUCGGCGGAAUUCCCAGGGUGCUCUUCACCGAGUGUCCUGUGAGGCCGCCAGGUUUACUUUGAAAAAAUUAGAGUGCUCCAAGCAGGCUCGACACGCCUGAAUAUUAGUGCAUGGAAUAAUGGAAUAGGACGUCAUUCCUAUUUUGUUGGUUUUCGGGAAUCGACGUAAUGAUUAAUAGGGACAGCCGGGGGCAUUAGUAUUCAGACGACAGAGGUGAAAUUC
rnacentral:rRNA from 1 species